GACAGUAUGGUGUAGUGGUUAUCACUUUUCCUCACACGCAGAAGGUCCCCAGUUCGAGCCUGGGUACUGUCA
rnacentral:tRNA from 1 species